rnacentral:rRNA from 1 species
UACGAAGGGGGCUAGCGUUGUUCGGAAUCACUGGGCGUAAAGGGCGCGUAGGCGGCUUUAUAAGUCGGGGGUGAAAGCCUGUGGCUCAACCACAGAAUUGCCUUCGAUACUGUAGAGCUUGAGACCGGAAGAGGUAAGUGGAACUGCGAGUGUAGAGGUGAAAUUCGUAGAUAUUCGCAAGAACACCAGUGGCGAAGGCGGCUUACUGGUCCGGUUCUGACGCUGAGGCGCGAAAGCGUUGGGAGCAAACAGG